rnacentral:rRNA from 1 species
UACGGGAGGCAGCAGUGGGGAAUAUUGCACAAUGGGCGGAAGCCUGAUGCAGCGACGCCGCGUGGGGGAUGACGGCCUUCGGGUUGUAAACUCCUUUCGACAGGGACGAAGCGCAAGUGACGGUACCUGUAUAAGAAGCACCGGCUAACUACGUGCCAGCAGCCGCGGUAAUACGUAGGGUGCGAGCGUUGUCCGGAAUUACUGGGCGUAAAGAGCUCGUAGGUGGUUUGUCGCGUCGUCUGUGAAAUUCCGGGGCUUAACUCCGGGCGUGCAGGCGAUACGGGCAUAACUUGAGUGCUGUAGGGGAGACUGGAAUUCCUGGUGUAGCGGUGAAAUGCGCAGAUAUCAGGAGGAACACCGAUGGCGAAGGCAGGUCUCUGGGCAGUUACUGACGCUGAGGAGCGAAAGCAUGGGUA